rnacentral:rRNA from 1 species
AUUGAACGCUAGCGGGAUGCCUUACACAUGCAAGUCGAACGGAGUGGCGAACGGGUGAGUAAUGUAUCGGAACGUGCCCAGUAGCGGGGGAUAACUACGCGAAAGCGUAGCUAAUACCGCAUACAAUUGAAUCGGCCUAUGUCGGAUUAGCUAGUGGGUGAGGUAACUUCCCACCAAGGCGACGAACCGUAGCUGGAUUGAGAGGACGACCAGCCACACUGGGACUGAGACACGGCCCAGACUCCUACGGUAGGAAGCAGUGGGAAUUUUUGGACAAUGGGGGAGACCCUGAUCCAGCCAUACGGAGUGUGCGAUGAAGGCCUGCGGGUUGUAAAGCACUUUUGGCAGGAGAGCGGUGCCUGCAGAAUAAGCACCGGCUAACUACGUGCCAGCAGCCGCGGUAAUAC